UAUGCAAAAAAUAAAAUAUAAUUAGUAUUAAAUAUUAAUAAUAGUGAAUUACCUAAAAAUCAUAUACAUCUGGUAACAAUAUAAAUUAUAUAAUACAAACAGUUGACAAAAUUUGAUAGUUGUUUUUAAUCAUAAAUAUGUACCGAAAAAAUAAAAAAUAAUUAUAUUAAUUGAAUACUUUUAGAACUUUAGAAUAUUGUAGAAAGUAGAUCUUAACCAAAACUGGGAAUACGUAAAAAUUGUUAUUACCGGCGCUUUUGAAAACCACUGUGAAUUUUGACCUCUCAAAAGUACCAACUAGAUAUACUUUCCCAUCAGAAUAUAUGCUAAAAUUGAAAACCUAAGCAUUAUUUCUACUAGAGAAAUGUAUACAGAUAGAAAAAAACCACACAUCAUUGUAAAAUCGAUGCAAUCAUCGCAUCGCUCUGUUGUAUGUGCCAAUAUUACUUUCUACUUAAAUAGUUUAAUGUUUCAUAUUCGUAAUAAUAGGCCAACGAAGCAAAUGAGCUGAGGCAGCACUUUGUAAAAUAAUAUUUAAGAACGUAUGCACAAUGGUAGAGGGACAGUGCGGGUUCUCGAAGUGAGGCCCGUAUGUUUGUAAGCGAUCCAUCGAGACUCGUAUUUUUGUUUGUUUGUGUUUAAUAAAGUUAUUUAAUAGUGUGAAUAUUGUCAUUGAUUAUUUUGUGUACCAUCGAGAGAUAGGUUUACGACAACUUGGAAUCUAAAAUGGACACCUAUGUAGGGGCGGCUCCAGACUCCAGAGACAUGGUUAUAUUAGGUUAGAUUUCCAGACAAAUCUUGAUUUCACAAAAUACGAAAAUAAUUUUUUGUCUGGAAAUCUAGAAUAUUACAAUCUUCAGUCAAAAUACUGAUAAAACUACAC